GUCUAAGUAGUGAAGCAAAUCACGUCAUCUUUUCGAGAUGGAGACGCUAAAUCAGCCUUAGAUC
rnacentral:tRNA from 1 species